AAGACACACACGAGGCUCAGGACAUAUCAGGAACUUGCCUGUGGUCACAAUUAUAGAUCCUACAAGUGAAGAUUUGAGCCCACACAGGCCAGCACCGGAGCUGCCUGGGCCAGGGGCAGUCAUCAAUUUUGAAUUUUUUUCGGCUGAGCACUUAGAUUCUAAUAAUACACAUAGAUAACCACCGCUUCCAAGAGGCAGAACUUCAUCCUCAUCCUCUAAUGGACUAUGGAAAGAAGAAAAACAGUCCUUUUACAGUGAAGAAACUCAGCAGAUGCUCCCUCAACAUCGCUGGUGGUAAGUCUUGUGGCUACUGGGUACCCCCUGAUACAAUGACAGGGGCACCUCACCUCUGUGAUCUUUUACCCAAAAACUAAUAACCUCAGUCUCAUGAGAAAAACAUCAGACAAACUCAGAUGAGGGGCAUUCUACAAAAUACGUGAGCAGCACUCUUCGAAUGUGUCAAGGUCGUGAAAAACAAGAAAAGACUCAGAACUGUUAGGGACCAGAGGAGCCUCAGGAGAUGACGGAGACUGAAUGCCAUGUGGGAUGCCGGAUGAGAUCAUGGAACAGAAAAAGGGCAUUAGUGGGAAACUGGCGAAAUCCUAAUAGAGUCUGUCGUCCAGCUAAUAAUGUUUUACUAAUGUUAACUUUUUAGUUUUGACAAAUGUAGCAUGAUUAUGUAAGAUGUUCACAUUAGGGGAAGGUGGGGGAAGAGUAUGGGAACUUUGUGGAACUUUGCUGUAAAUCUAAAAUCACUAAACAAAAAUUAUUCAAAAAAUCAGGGUGUAGAUAUUUAUUAGUAUAGAAAUGUAUUCACAACAUAUUAAGGGGAAAGUAUGUAUGGCCUCACAUAGUUUUUGCUGAAUGAGACCGUAUUUGUAAAAACUCUAAUAACAAGGUGUAUGUCUACAUGAAUGUGUAUAUAUGCACAUGUAGGCUGGGCACGGUGGCUCAUGCCUGUAAUCCC
rnacentral:lncRNA from 1 species